UACGGAGGGUGCAAGCGUUGUCCGGAUUUAUUGGGUUUAAAGGGUGCGUAGGCGGCUAAUUAAGUCAGCGGUGAAAUUCCAGAGCUCAACUCUGUGAACUGCCAUUGAUACUGGUUGGCUUGAGUACAGAUGAGGUAGGCGGAAUUGACAGUGUAGCGGUGAAAUGCUUAGAUAUUGUCAAGAACACCUAUUGCGAAGGCAGCUUACUAAACUGUAACUGACGCUGAGGCACGAAAGCGUGGGGAGCGAACCGG
rnacentral:rRNA from 1 species